GAAUGCUGACAUAAGUAACGAUAAAGCGGGUGAAAAGCCCGCUCGCCGGAAGACCAAGGGUUCCUGUCCAACGUUAAUCGGGGCAGGGUGAGUCGACCCCUAAGGCGAGGCCGAAAGGCGUAGUCGAUGGGAAACGGGUUAAUAUUCCCGUACUUGGUGUUACUGCGAAGGGGGGACGGAGAAGGCUAUGUUGGCCGGGCGACGGUUGUCCCGGUUUAAGCGUGUAGGUGUGUGUUCCAGGUAAAUCCGGUUCACUUUAACACUGAGGCGUGACGACGAGGCACUACGGUGCUGAAGCAACAAAUGCCCUGCUUCCAGGAAAAGCCUCUAAGCAUCAGGUAACAUCAAAUCGUACCCCAAACCGACACAGGUGGUCAGGUAGAGAAUACCAAGGCGCUUGAGAGAACUCGGGUGAAGGAACUAGGCAAAAUGGUGCCGUAACUUCGGGAGAAGGCACGCUGACACGUAGGUGAAGUGAUUUACUCAUGGAGCUGAAGUCAGUCGAAGAUACCAGCUGGCUGCAACUGUUUAUUAAAAACACAGCACUGUGCAAACACGAAAGUGGACGUAUACGGUGUGACGCCUGCCCGGUGCCGGAAGGUUAAUUGAUGGGGUCAGCGCAAGCGAAGCUCCUGAUCGAAGCCCCGGUAAACGGCGGCCGUAACUAUAACGGUCCUAAGGUAGCGAAAUUCCUUGUCGGGUAAGUUCCGACCUGCACGAAUGGCGUAAUGAUGGCCAGGCUGUCUCCACCCGAGACUCAGUGAAAUUGAACUCGCUGUGAAGAUGCAGUGUACCCGCGGCAAGACGGAAAGACCCCGUGAACCUUUACUAUAGCUUGACACUGAACAUUGAGCCUUGAUGUGUAGGAUAGGUGGGAGGCUUUGAAGUGUGGACGCCAGUCUGCAUGGAGCCGACCUUGAAAUACCACCCUUUAAUGUUUGAUGUUCUAACGUGGACCCGUUACCCGGGUUGCGGACAGUGUCUGGUGGGUAGUUUGACUGGGGCGGUCUCCUCCUAAAGAGUAACGGAGGAGCACGAAGGUUGGCUAAUCCUGGUCGGACAUCAGGAGGUUAGUGCAAUGGCAUAAGCCAGCUUGACUGCGAGCGUGACGGCGCGAGCAGGUGCGAAAGCAGGUCAUAGUGAUCCGGUGGUUCUGAAUGGAAGGGCCAUCGCUCAACGGAUAAAAGGUACUCCGGGGAUAACAGGCUGAUACCGCCCAAGAGUUCAUAUCGACGGCGGUGUUUGGCACCUCGAUGUCGGCUCAUCACAUCCUGGGGCUGAAGUAGGUCCCAAGGGUAUGGCUGUUCGCCAUUUAAAGUGGUACGCGAGCUGGGUUUAGAACGUCGUGAGACAGUUCGGUCCCUAUCUGCCGUGGGCGCUGGAGAACUGAGGGGGGCUGCUCCUAGUACGAGAGGACCGGAGUGGACGCAUCACUGGUGUUCGGGUUGUCAUGCCAAUGGCACUGCCCGGUAGCUAAAUGCGGAAGAGAUAAGUGCUGAAAGCAUCUAAGCACGAAACUUGCCCCGAGAUGAGUUCUCCCUGAGACUUAGAGUCUCCUGAAGGAACGUUGAAGACGACGACGUUGAUAGGCCGGGUGUGUAAG
rnacentral:rRNA from 1 species